rnacentral:piRNA from 1 species
UGGUCUAUGGUUCCUUGUUUGUAGGAUUAU